rnacentral:ncRNA from 1 species
GCUUUAUUCCUUGCUCGAAGCAAAUCUUGCUCUGUCUCUGUCACUGGCUUUGUCUUUCUCUAUCUUUGUCUUUCUUUCUCUAGAUCUGUCUCUGUCGUUGUCUCUCUUUCUUUGAUAAAAUCCACUUUGAUCGGUUCUCUCUUACUCUGUCUUUGUCGCUGUCGUGCUCUAUCUCCAACUACUAAGUAGCUAUGGAAUGGGCAUUGGCGUGGGAGCGAGAUUAUUGUUUGGUUUUUUUUGGUGUUUGAAUUUUUAUGUUUUACCUUAUAGAAUUUGACUCAAAGUUGGUUUGGACAAGGGGAAUCUGACUGUUUAAUUAAAACAAAGAAUUGUGAUGGUCCCUGUGGAUGUUGAUGAAUUGUGAUUUUUGCCCAGUGCUAUGAAUGUUAAAGUGAAAAAAUUCAACCAAGCACGGGUAAACGACGGGAGUAAAUAUGACUCUCUUAAGGUAGCCAAAUGCCUCGUCAUCUAAUUAGUGAUGCACAUGAAUGGAUUAAUUGGAUUCUCACUAUCCCUAUCUAUUCUCUAGCGAAACCAUGACCAAGGGAAUGGGCUUCGCAUAAUCAACAGGGAAAUAAGACCUUGUUGAAUUUGACUCUAGUAUGAAUUUGUGAAAUGACUUCAGAGGUGUAGAAUAAGUGGGAUUGUGUUUUGUCACAAAUGAAAUACAACUAAUUUUAACGUUAUUUUACUUAUUAUGUGGGACAGAGAGGGGCAUUUACCUUAUUUUUGGCCUUAAGACACGUUUCAAUGGGUCAAUCUGGGCGAAAGACAUUGUCAGGUGGGGAUUUUGGAUGGGGUGAAACACAUCUUCUCAAUAUUGGAUUUUGGAUGGGAGAAACACAUCUUCUCAAUAUUACAUUCAUACCUAUUCUAUAUAGGUUCACUAAUACUAUCUUAGAUCUUAAUUAUUUAUGUGAUAGGUUUAUUUACUUUGGAACAUUCAUUCCUUAGGAUUCUUUACCAUAUUUGAGUGAUAUACAUCCUCCACAUACCCAAUUGUUGUCUAACCCU